UUAAUAAUAUAAGUUGAAACAAAAGUAUUGCGAUGUCAGUCUAAAUCUUAAGUUAUCUCAAGUGUGUUCCGAAAUGUAUAAAGUGAAAUAUUUGGAAUUGCGAGCAAAUGAAUAUAAAUAUCUGGACUCCAGAAUCCAAGAAAGAGAAAAUAAAGAACCAAUCAAAAGAAAAGAUCAAAUCAAUCCGAAAGUUGGCAAAAUAGUUCGAAUAUUACACAAAAGCAUAAACAUUUUGGAGUAUAAGAAGUCUUAGAUUUUGAGGGAGACAAUUGAUUUUAUAAAUCUGGUAUCCCGGGAUGUGACAAGUAAAACUAAAAUCAUUUUAAUUUAAGAACCUGCCAUCCUCCACCUAGUGCCUCUGCUCUGGAUAUGCUGUAACUAUCAUCUGUUAAGAUGCUGUGGCCACUGAUUGAUUGAAACAAAUAACCCAACAACGCACCGCAACGAAUUCAGAAGCUCAGAUUACUAAAAAAAGUGUCAAGCACAAAAUAUGCCAAAGUCUACAGUCACAGUGGUUACAAAACUUCGCUAAAUACAUUCUGUCGGCUCCCUGCUCUCGGAUAGAAGGGGCGGGCGGGGCCCAUUCUUGUAACAAACUGUAACAAGUUACAGUUCAAUAAGGAUGUAGCGACCUUGGAAUAUGAAAAAUGUUUCGACAGAGACCUGGAACAAAAGCUUUAGACAUUCAAACAAAACUCGGUUUACGACAAGAAUGUGCCUUUUAUACCUACAAAGGAACCAUUAAGUCAGCAACCAUUUCCAAAGUUCACAAUGAUACCCAUACCAAUCGAUAAAUUCCAAUAAAGUAUACCUACGUGGUUAUUGGCUCGUAUUAUUGACUUUUCCAUUUCAUAAACGCAAAGCUACCACGCAACACUCUACGUCACUAAUUAACACAAUUAGAGCCUAUAAAUUAAUGAGUAAUUACACCGGAAAUGGAAACACUUCACCAGCCGGCACAUGUCACGAACUCGACGAGUGAACUGGCUGAAGAAAGAAGAUUUUGAUCCAAGGAAGUUUGAAUUUAAAAGAAAAAGAAGAGAAAUUCAAAAAGAGAACUCCCACUUACCUCGGGCGUCGCAGGGCGGGCGUGUGCGCGCGGCGGCGGCGCGGCAGUGAGCCGGCCACGACCGACCCUCCGCGACUCUACGCAGAUUUGCCUACACCCCCGCACCCCCCGCGCCCCCCGCCCGGGCCUGCAUCACACCUACAUUCUUUAAAAUAUUUACUCUAAUAAGCGACUACUACUAGGCUUGAUUUGUGGACCUAGCGGCUAAACCAGCAAACCUUAAAACACAGUUUUUAUCUAUGAAAUUAGGCUAUCCAAAUUGACUCAGAUAUUAAGAUCGAUCAUGAUAACACCAACGUCUGAAGGCCCUAGUUUAAACAGAUUAUGGUGGAAGUUAUAGCCACUAGACUCUAGUAUGUAACAGUUUUUAACGUUACGUAAGUAAAACAAACAUAAUGAAAUGCAUACAAACGUAUUGUCACAUUUUGUAGAACCGUUAAGGCGGCGCGUCGCUUUUCGUGACGCAACCGGAAUCAGCAUCGGUCGUAAGGUCGCGCCCACAUCAGCUUAGCCGACGACCGGUUUCGGAAUUUCGGUAACUGUGCAGAUUUUUGGACUCAUUCUUAUUUCUAUUUAUAGGACGGUUACAAGCGCUUACUAGCUGGGAUAGAAUUAAAGCUUAUUUUUCAAAAGCUCUUCUCUUAAAUGUAACAAUAUAAAAUUAUCAUCGCGCUUAUAGUUCAAAUAUCAAUAUCCAAAGAUUGUUUGUUGAGGCGUAACUGAUCAUUGAAGUAAAGCAACACAAUGUCAUGCAUGGCACGGUUACUGUGUUUUCUGGACGCUUUCGUGCCUCGGACGUCACGUUAAGCCGUGGGUCCUGGUUGCUGUUUCGGCAGCAGUCGUAAAGCCUAGUCAGAGGUCUUCGGGCAGCUUGAAAACAUCUGACAGUCGGGUUGACCACUUACCCGACUACUCUCUCAGUACAAGAUUGCUUGAGAGAGAGGAAUUGAGAAGGUGGCAUGCUCCCGAUGAAUUUUAUGCAUCUACAUAAUACCGUCUGGAACGAUUAACUUUCCUAUACAGAAGGUUUGAAGUAAAUUUUUGAGUGUAUGUUUCUUUCCAAAAGUUUUUAAUUUUCAUGAGUUGAACAUGUUUUUUUAAGUUUUCGUGAGCAUUAAAUUUUACAACCUGUGUAGACGCAGCCUUAGAACACGCAUGACGCGUCCUGUACUGACGAAUGUCCAACUACAGAGCCGCCAUAUGGCUCUUUGUACCACGUACACUUCCCCGAUAUUAAAUAUUUAAUUCUUAUUUGAAAACUCCAUGCUCGAUGAAGCGUUUUCCAUUAAAACAUAUGCUAUCAAUUCUAUCGUUUCCUGGAAUAUUCAAUUAAUACCAUGAGUAGUUUGUAAAAAUUGACGUUCAUCAGAAAAAAAAAUAUAUUUAUACGAUGAAUAAAAAUAUUUGACUUUGACUUUUUUAAAAUUAUGAAUCCUUUAUAGGUUUCGUAGAAUAAAGGUUCCUAAGCCAC